AGAGUUUGAUCCUGGCUCAGAAUGAACGCUGGCGGCGUGCCUAACACAUGCAAGUCGGAUGUGCCCGCAAGGGUGCAUGGCAGACGGGUGAGUAACGCGUGGGGAAUCUACCUCUUUGUGGGGAAUAACGCUCCGAAAGGAGUGGUAAUACCGCAUGAGAUCCAUGGCUGGAAUGUUGUGGAUGAAACCUGGGGACCUUCGGGCCUGGGGCAAGGAGAGGAUCCUGCGUCUGAUUAGCUAGUUGGUGAGGUAACGGCCCACCAAGGCAACGAUCAGUAGCCGGCCUGAGAGGGUGAUCGGCCACACUGGAACUGAGACACGGUCCAGACUCCUACGGGAGGCAGCAGUGGGGAAUUUUGCGCAAUGGGCGAAAGCCUG
rnacentral:rRNA from 1 species